rnacentral:misc_RNA from 1 species
UUUUCCGUCAAAACAUAAAUCAUGUGUGGUGGUUCUAUAAUCUCCGAUUACAUAGACCCUAGCCGGACUUCUCGCCGGCUCACCGCCGAGUUUCUAUGGGGUCGUUUCGAUCUCGGUAAGAAGCAAAAAAAUCCCAACAAUUAUCACUCUAAAGCUAAGCAUUUGCGAUCUGAAGUUGUUGACGACUUUGAAGCCGAUUUUCAGGACUUCAAAGAGUUAUCCGAUGAUGAGGAUGUUCAAGUCGAUGUCAAGCCAUUUGCCUUCUCUGCUUCCAAACACUCUACUGGUUCCAAAUCUUUGAAAACUGUUGAUUCAGACAAGGAUGCUGCUGCUGAUAAAUCCUCUAAGAGAAAGAGGAAGAAUCAAUAUAGAGGGAUCAGACAGAGACCUUGGGGUAAGUGGGCAGCUGAA